UUAAAACGUAAAUUUAAAAGCUAAAUUAUUAAUAGUUAUGUUCUUUAAAAUUAAAUAAUUUGGCGGUAUUUUAGUCUUUUCAGAGGAACCUGUUCUUUAAUUGAUAAUCCACAAUUUAAAAAACUUAAAUUAGUAAUUUACAUAUCAUCGUUAUUAAGUAUUUUUAUAGAAUUUAAUAUUUAAAAAAUUUAAUUAUAUCAUAGUUCAGAUCAAGGUGUAGUUUAUAUUUAAGUUGAAAUGGGUUACUAUUUAAUAAAAUUGAAUUAGAAAUUUAAAAUUUCUAUAAAAUUGGAUUUGAAAGUAAUUAAUUUUUUUUAUUUUUAAUGAUUAAGCUCUAAAAUAAUUGG
rnacentral:rRNA from 1 species